rnacentral:misc_RNA from 1 species
ACGAGUAAGGGUCCUCUGGGCCCGACCUCCCAACCCAUUGUCUACCAAACCAUUUGUUGCUUCGGCGAGCCCGUCUCCACGGACCGCCGGGGGACCGUGAUAGGUCUCCUGGCCCGCGCUCGCCGGCAGCCCCAACCUCAAAACUCUUAAGUAAACGUGUCAUGACUAAGUACCAAUUUUUUAAUUAAAAGCA